rnacentral:rRNA from 1 species
AUGAAUAUUUUUUACUUAGCAGAUCAAUAUAAACAUAUUGGCUAUCUAUUUACCAAUUCUGAAUUUAAAGCACUUUAUUUUAUGGCCUUCAGUAAAAGUUCAGUCAUUGUUGGCUGGAAGACAUCUUCAAUACGCCGUCAACACGAGCUUACCAAGAAAGGAGAUUUUGUGGAUGAUGUAAGAUAUCCACAUGUUGUAUAUGUGGAAAAACCAAAGGCUCGGGAUGUUGAUUUUUCGGAUGAAAUGAUUUAUCAGGCAAAAACUACAAGUGAAAUGGAAGAAGUAACGCUCAAAAGCCUGAAUAGAAUUCCUUGGCAAAGGGUAGAUGUUAGCUUCAAGAGAAGUAGACAAUGGAUUUUUGCCCAUAGCACCAUUCAGGUCCAGUUGUCGUUGCCUUCACUUGCUUUGUCGUUUACCCAUCUGUCAGCUCGCCGAUCCCCUGACUUGCUGUCAAGUGCAGAUUCUAGGAUAUUAACAUUUGCAGCCAUACAUUGGUUUCAAUGGUGA